GGGAAACGGAGGGAGGGGCCAGCCCCAGGCCCCAAAACAAGUUUGUGGGACA
rfam:Rattus norvegicus chromosome X, whole genome shotgun sequence.